CUUUGGGAUAACCCUCGGAAACGGGGGCUAAUACCGAAUAUUACUGCUGGACGCAUGUUUGGUGGUGGAAAGUUUUUCGGCCUGGGAUGGGCUCGCGGCCUAUCAGCUUGUUGGUGGGGUGAUGGCCUACCAAGGCGACGACGGGUAGCCGGCCUGAGAGGGCGACCGGCCACACUGGGACUGAGACACGGCCCAGACUCCUACGGGAGGCAGCAGUGGGGAAUAUUGCACAAUGGGCGGAAGCCUGAUGCAGCGACGCCGCGUGAGGGAUGACGGCCUUCGGGUUGUAAACCUCUUUCAGCUCCGACGAAGCGAGAGUGACGGUAGGAGCAGAAGAAGCGCCGGCCAACUACGUGCCAGCAGCCGCGGUAAGACGUAGGGCGCGAGCGUUGUCCGGAUUUAUUGGGCGUAAAGAGCUCGUAGGCGGCUUGUCGCGUCGACUGUGAAAACCCACAGCUCAACUGUGGGCUUGCAGUCGAUACGGGCAGGCUAGAGUUCGGUAGGGGAGACUGGAAUUCCUGGUGUAGCGGUGAAAUGCGCAGAUAUCAGGAGGAACACCGGUGGCGAAGGCGGGUCUCUGGGCCGAUACUGACGCUGAGGAGCGAAAGCGUGGGGAGCGAACAGGAUUAGAUACCCUGGUAGUCCACGCUGUAAACGUUGGGCGC
rnacentral:rRNA from 1 species